CGGAUAGACCGACUGCGAGAGAAAGAGAGAAAAGGGCCGAAAACGCUUGAGAAAAGAAACCGAUAUACACAUUUACAAGGGAACUUUACUACUUGAAAGCACGCAUUUAAGAGUGGCAUUUUGGGGGCACGAGGGCCCAGUUACCAUAGCGCCCGGCCCUCUCCAUCCCCAAGAGGCUCUUUAAAUAUUCACGGUUGGAGACUUUUUUUUGUUUGUUAUGAAGGGGGGUGACGGCAGCACCGCGGGCAGCAUUUAUAAGGGGGAGCUGUCGGGGUUUUGAGGGUUUUUUAUAUUAUUAUUUAAUUUUCUUCACGGAGAAAAGCGGAGGGCUCCAUUUUUAUUUUCUUGGCCCUCGGGUUUCUUUGUCCGAAGGAUGUCGCGAGCGUCUAAUGCGAGGCGUCUGCUUGCCCUACUGCUGCUUCUGACGGCCGCGAGCCUCGCCGUGGCUCAAACUCAACUCUCUCCCACCAACUCCACCGGCAACUCGACUGCGGACUCGGGGUCAGGGCCGACGCUGCCCCUGCUGCAUCUGCUGCUGGCCUCCCUCCUGCUGCCCCUCGUCACCCUGAGACCUGUGCUGGCCUAGCCCGGCCUGCGCCCACCCACCCACCCACCCUCCCUCACUCCCCACUCAUCAUCAGCAGCAGCAGCAAUUGCGGCAACAACAUCGUCAGUAGUAGUAUCAGCAGCAUAAGUUGUAAUAGAACAAGUGCCGUUUGGGUAAGAGGGGUGCAAUGCCUCCCAAUGUUUCGGCUGGGCAAGGAGGAGUGGGGGGGGCAUCAGCUAUGCCAUGAGCGGCCCUUCAUCACUCACAUCCAGUUGAGAUUCUACUUUGCCCACCGCCUCCAGUAAUUCCCAAGCAGCGCGUAGUUACGGCAGCAGUAUCAGCGACAUCAAUAAUAGCACGUGCGUAUACAGGUAUAAGAGCAUGCCUGUUAGUAGCAUCAUCGGCAGCAGCAGCAUCAUUGACGUAGAUCAUCAGCAGCAGCAGAAACAGCAAUAGAUAGCAUGGUCAGUAGCACUCGCA